rnacentral:rRNA from 1 species
GAGGAAUAUUGGACAAUGGGUGGAAGCCUGAUCCAGCCAUCCCGCGUGAAGGACGACGGCCCUAUGGGUUGUAAACUUCUUUUGUACAGGGAUAAACCUCCCCUCGUGAGGGGAGCUGAAGGUACUGUACGAAUAAGCACCGGCUAACUCCGUGCCAGCAGCCGCGGUAAUACGGAGGGUGCAAGCGUUAUCCGGAUUUAUUGGGUUUAAAGGGUCCGUAGGCGGGCCCGUAAGUCAGUGGUGAAAUCUCGCAGCUUAACUGCGAAACUGCCAUUGAUACUGCGGGUCUUGAGUGAAUUUGAAGUGGCUGGAAUAAGUAGUGUAGCGGUGAAAUGCAUAGAUAUUACGUAGAACACCGAUUGCGAAGGCAGGUCACUAAGAUUCAACUGACGCUGAGGGACGAAAGCGUGGGGAGCGAAC